rnacentral:lncRNA from 1 species
UUCUUCUAUUCAGUACAAGCUGACAAAACGCCAAGCACAGGAGGAGAUCCAAAGGUGCACUGGUGCUGUGGUGAUAACAAGGGGCAAGUAACAUCCACCAAAUGCGUCAACUGAUGUAAUUACAAUUAAACAUGGCCGACAAAGGAAAAUAUUUACAGGAUUUCCUCUACUAGGUGAGUUUACAUGCCAGAAUGCUAUUAUGGCUGAGCGCUUUAUUGAAGCAGGUUAUAGCUGCUAUCACUUACCAAAUAGUUCCCACUGACACACAGU